rnacentral:rRNA from 1 species
AUUGAAUGCUGGCGGCAUGCCUUACACAUGCAAAUCGAACGGUAACGGGCCUUCGGGUGCCGACGAGUGGCGAACGGGUGAGUAAUACAUCGGAACGUGCCCGAUCGUGGGGGAUAACGAGGCGAAAGCUUUGCUAAUACCGCAUACGAUCUACGGAUGAAAGCAGGGGACCGCAAGGCCUUGCGCGGACGGAGCGGCCGAUGGCAGAGUAGGUAGUUGGUGGGAUAAAAGCUUACCAAGCCGACGAUCUGUAGCUGGUCUGAGAGGCUGAUCAGCCACCCUGGGACUUAGACACGGCCCAGACUCCUACGGGAGGCAGCAGUGGGGAAUUUUGGACAAUGGGCGCAAGCCUGAUCCAGCCAUGCCGCGUGCAGGAUGAAGGCCUUCGGGUUGUAAACUGAUUUUGUACGGAACGAAAAGCCUUCUUUUAAUACAGGAGGGUCAUGACGGUACCGUAAGAAUAAGCACCGGCUAACUACGUG